rnacentral:rRNA from 1 species
UUGAUCCUGGCUCAGAAUCAACGCUGGCGGCGCGCUUAACACAUGCAAGUCGCACGAGAAAGCAGUAGCAAUAUUGUGAGUACAGUGGCGUACGGGUGAUUAACACGUGGAUCAUCUACCUUCUAGUGGGGAAUACCCCCGGGAAACUGUGGACAAUACCGCAUAAGCUCGUAAGAGGAAAGCAGCAAUGCGCUGGAAGUGGAGUCCGCGGCUGAUUAGCUAGUUGGCGGGGUAAUGGCCCACCAAGGCUAAGAUCGGUAGCCGGCCUGAGAGGGCACACGGCCACACUGGCACUGAAAUACGGGCCAGACUCCUACGGGAGGCAGCAGUGGGGAAUCUUGCACAAUGGUGGAAACUCUGAUGCAGCGACGCCGCGUGAGCGAUGAAGCCCUUCGGGGUUUAAAGCUCUUUCGACGGGAACGAUAAUGACGGUACCCGAAGAAGAAGCUUCGGCUAACUACGUGCCAGCAGCCGCGGUAAUU